UACGAAGGGUGCAAGCGUUACUCGGAAUUACUGGGCGUAAAGCGUGCGCAGGUGGUUUGUUAAGUCUGCUGUGAAAGCCCCGGGCUCAACCUGGGAAUGGCAGUGGAGACUGGCAAGCUAGAGUGCGGAAGAGGAGAGUGGAAUUCCCGGUGUAGCGGUGAAAUGCGCAGAUAUCGGGAAGAACACCCGUGGCGAAGGCGGCUCUCUGGGACGGUACUGACGCUGAGACGCGAAAGCGUGGGGAGCGAACAGG
rnacentral:rRNA from 1 species